rnacentral:rRNA from 1 species
GAUGAACGCUGGCGGCGUGCUUAACACAUGCAAGUCGAACGAUGAAGCCCAGCUUGCUGGGUGGAUUAGUGGCGAACGGGUGAGUAACACGUGAGUAACCUGCCCUUAACUCUGGGAUAAGCCUGGGAAACUGGGUCUAAUACCGGAUAGGAGCGCCUACCGCAUGGUGGGUGUUGGAAAGAUUUAUCGGUUUUGGAUGGACUCGCGGCCUAUCAGCUUGUUGGUGAGGUAAUGGCUCACCAAGGCGACGACGGGUAGCCGGCCUGAGAGGGUGACCGGCCACACUGGGACUGAGACACGGCCCAGACUCCUACGGGAGGCAGCAGUGGGGAAUAUUGCACAAUGGGCAAAAGCCUGAUGCAGCGACGCCGCGUGAGGGAUGACGGCCUUCGGGUUGUAAACCUCUUUCAGUAGGGAAGAAGCGAAAGUGACGGUACCUGCAGAAGAAGCACCGGCUAACUACGU